GCCCCGCGCGGUGGCGCGCGCCUGUAGUCCCAGCUACUCGGGAGGCUGAGGCUGGAGGAUCGCUUGAGCUCAGGAGUUCUGGGCUGUAGUGCGCUAUGCCGAUCGGGUGUCCGCACUAAGUUCGGCAUCAAUAUGGUGACCUCCCGGGAGCGGGGGACCACCAGGUUGCCUAAGGAGGGGUGAACCGGCCCAGGUCGGAGACGGAGCAGGUCAAAGCUCCCGUGCUGAUCAGUAGUGGGAUCGCGCCUGUGAAUAGCCACUGCACUCCAGCCUGGGCAACAUAGCGAGACCCCGUCUCUU
rnacentral:SRP_RNA from 1 species